GCAUCUAGGGCACACAUCUAACAGUUUGUAUGGAUUCUAGUACUUGCUAAGAAAUUAAUGUAAUUUCUUGAAUUGGAGAUUGAGACUAUCAAUUUGUAUAAAAUGGUAAGAAAAUCUUUAGACUAAAGUCUAUAUCAUUAGGAUUAAAAUAAUUCAUAUACUAAUAGGUUUAUGUUUCUUCUUUUUCAGUUAUGUUCAACACACUAUUGCUCCAUUCGCUGUUGGACAGUGACAGCUUACUAGACC
rnacentral:lncRNA from 1 species